rnacentral:rRNA from 1 species
ACACGACUACAUUAGAUACCCGCGUAGUCCUAGCCGUAAACGAUACUCGCUAGGUGUCGGCCACGGUGCGACCGUUGUCGGUGCCGUAGGGAAGCCGUGAAGCGAGCCACCUGGGAAGUACGGCCGCAAGGCUGAAACUUAAAGGAAUUGGCGGGGGAGCACCACAACGGGUGGAGCUUGCGGUUUAAUUGGACUCAACGCCGGAAAUCUUACCGGGACCGACAGCAACAUGAAGGCCAGGCUGAAGACUUUGCCGGAUUAGCUG